GGAUGAAUAGCUCAAUGGCCGAGCAGUCGCCUGUUAAGCAACAAGAUGAAAGUUCGAAUCUUUCUUCAUCCGCCA
rnacentral:tRNA from 1 species